CGUAGGUGGCAAGCGUUAUCCGGAAUUACUGGUGUAAGGGAGCGCAGGCGGGAUAGCAAGUCAGCUGUGAAACUAUGGGCUCAACCCAUAACUGCAGUUGAACUGUUAUUCUUGAGUGGAGUAGAGGCAAGCGGAAUUCCGAGUGUAGCGGUGAAAUGCGUAGAUAUUCGGAGGAACACCAGUGGCGAAGGCGGCUUGCUGGGCUCUAACUGACGCUGAGGCUCGAAAGUGUGGGAGCAAACAGGAUU
rnacentral:rRNA from 1 species